UAGUAACGGCGAGUGAAGCGGGAAGAGCUCAAGCUUAAAAUCUCCGUGCAAGUUUUGUGCGGCGAAUUGUAGUCUAUAGAAGCGUGGUCAGCAUGGGCACUUGGGGCAAGUUCCUUGGAAGAGGACAGCAUGGAGGGUGAUACUCCCGUUCAUUUCUGAGUUGCUCGUGCGUACGACCCGUUUUCUUUGAGUCGCGUUGUUUGGGAAUGCAGCGCAAAGUAGGUGGUAAAUUCCAUCUAAAGCUAAAUAUUGGUGCGAGACCGAUAGCGAACAAGUACCGUGAGGGAAAGAUGAAAAGAACUUUGAAAAGAGAGUUAAAGAGUACCUGAAACUGCUGAAAGGGAACCGAAUCGUUUCCAGUGUCUAUAAUCCGUGGUAUAUUUCAUUGGCGAGUGUGUGCGUGCGUGUGCUGUGGCAGCGGCUUUUUUGGCUGCGCUCGGCGUGUGUGCUGUGUGUGCUUGCUGGUGCUCUGUGCUGCGGUGGGACGUCAAGGUCAGUUCGUAUGCUGCGGGAAAUGGCUGCCGAGGAGGUAGGGCUUACGCUUGCGUUUGUCUGUUAUAUCUUGGUGGACGAGUAGUCGCGGUUGGGACUGAGGUGCCUACAACGUGCUUUUGAGUGGGUUUGUGUCUCCGUGUGCGCCGUGUGCGGAUAGCUUGCUAUGCGUGUGUGGUUGUGUGUGGAUUGAUGCGAGCUUUAACUUGUUGCCGUUC
rnacentral:rRNA from 1 species